ACGAGCAGGAGCCCCGGCGUUGGC
rnacentral:siRNA from 1 species